UACGAAGGGGGCUAGCGUUGCUCGGAAUUACUGGGCGUAAAGCGCACGUAGGCGGUCUUUUAAGUCGGGGGUGAAAUCCUGGAGCUCAACUCCAGAACUGCCUUUGAUACUGAAGAUCUUGAGUUCGGGAGAGGUGAGUGGAACUGCGAGUGUAGAGGUGAAAUUCGUAGAUAUUCGCAAGAACACCAGUGGCGAAAGCGGCUCACUGGCCCGAUACUGACGCUGAGGCACGAAAGCGUGGGGAGCAAACAGG
rnacentral:rRNA from 1 species